rnacentral:lncRNA from 1 species
CAGGCUGGGAGGUUCUUCUCAGGCUGUUACCAGCAUGUGCUGACCUUUUUGAAACCUGCCUCUUCUCUCCUAGGUCACUACUGCCCCAGAAAUACCAAAUUUGCCACUCAGUAUCCUUGUCCUCCUGGAACAUACAGUGAUGCUUUAAAUAUCUGGGAUGCUUCCAAGUGCCAGCUGUGUCCUCCUGGAAGGGUCUGUUCCAAGCCAGGCUUAGCAAGACCAGAUGGACUGUGCAUGCCUGGAUGGUUUUGUCCACCUGGAUCCAUGUCAAGCAAGCCAAUGUUUCCUGGAAAUCACUCAGGUAUAAUAAAGUGUAAUGAUUAUUAUUAUUGUCGCAGUGGUGGUGUGGAGUCACCUAGAAGACUCAGAUGGCUUGCUUUCCCUUGCUGCUUUCUUUAAUUGAGUGCUCUAGUUCUGUUCUUAGCUCUUUAGGUAAGAUAGACCCCUUGCAAUUUUUCUGCUUCAGCUCAGUGUCUGUUCUUUCCAUCAGUGGGCACAGCAGCUCCAACUUCUGGAUCUUUUGGGCAGUGUCAAGCAGGAUCCUUUUGUCCUGUUGGUUCAUUUCUUCCUAUUCCCUGCACUCCAGGUAGGAAAAGCAUCUUUCUCCCUGCACAAAUUGCUUUAUUUUGUAGUGCUGUCUUCAGUUCUGCCAUGCUCACGAGGCAAUCCCAGUCUUGUGCUGUUUGUAUUUACAUUUUCAUGUCUCUCAGAUGGAGGGUUUUGCUUCUGUCCCCUGCAUCAGGUAUGUUCUGUGCAACUGCAGAGCUGUCAGCUCCAUCAGGUCCCUGUGAGGCUGGCUUCUACUGCACAGGGGGCUCCGUGCUGCCAAACCCCAUGGAUGGAGCAGUGGGGAACAUUUGUCCUCAAGGCCACUUCUGUCCUGCAGGGAGUUCUUCUCCAUCUCCUUGUCCCCGAGGCUCCUUUCUGGCUCAUCGUGGUGGCCAGUCAGCACAGGACUGCCAGGCCUGCUUCCCAGGGUGGUUCUGUUCUGAGUGUGGUCAGAGCUCCCCAGAAGGUCUGUGUAAGGAGGGGUGGUUCUGCCCAGAGGGCUCUGCAUCUGGGCAGCAUUCAGGUAGGAAAUCUUGGAGGUCCUUCUUCAUCUACAGGAGUUGCAAUAGGAAGAUGGCCUUAAAAUCUGCAUCCCACAGGGCUGGAAGUUAGUUUUAUAAAUUUCUGGCUGUUUAGAUUUCUAGAAAAUGUUUUCCAAGUAAUGCAGUUGAAGUAGUGGGUAACUAUAAGAGGAGGAUGGACAUCGUUUACUGGAAUUUUACUACAGCAAAAAACGAGCUGAAUAAAUAUCUUAAGAGGUGUCUAUUCCUUAUUGUG